rnacentral:rRNA from 1 species
UGGGGAAUAUUGGACAAUGGGCGCAAGCCUGAUCCAGCCAUGCCGCGUGAGUGAUGAAGGCCCUAGGGUUGUAAAGCUCUUUCACCGGUGAAGAUAAUGACGGUAACCGGAGAAGAAGCCCCGGCUAACUUCGUGCCAGCAGCCGCGGUAAUACGAAGGGGGCUAGCGUUGUUCGGAUUUACUGGGCGUAAAGCGCACGUAGGCGGACUUUUAAGUCAGGGGUGAAGUCCCGGGGCUCAACCCCGGAACUGCCUUUGAUACUGGAAGUCUUGAGUAUGGUAGAGGUGAGUGGAAUUCCGAGUGUAGAGGUGAAAUUCGUAGAUAUUCGGAGGAACACCAGUGGCGAAGGCGGCUCACUGGACCAUUACUGACGCUGAGGUGCGAAAGCGUGGGGAGCAAACAGG